CGGCGGAGCGUGUUGUUUAAUUCGNNNNUNNGCGAAGAACCUUACCAGGGUUUGACAUCCUAGGAAUUACUGCGAAAGUGGAUCCGCUACUACAGGUGUGACGAGCGCAACCCUUAUGAUUAGUUGGGGAUGUCAGGUUGUAUUACCCUUAUAUCCUGGCUACAUACAUGGCCGGUACAAGGGCAGCUAAGUCGCGAGACGGAGCAUCCCAUCAAAGCCGGUCCCAGUUCGGAUUGCAGUGAAACUCGCCUGCAUGAAGUCGGAAUCGCUAGUAAUCGAGGNCAGCACACUGCNGUGAAUACGUUCCCGGGUCUUGUACACACCGCCGUCACACCAUGGAAAGUCGGAGCGCCCGAAGUCCUAGCUUGUCUAGCUANGCGAACUCAGUGAUGGCGGCUA
rnacentral:rRNA from 1 species